GAAUAUUCUUCAAAAUAUCUAGAAGAACUAUGACGAGUUUAUUUGAUGUCACGCGAAAUUUGCAACGAUCGACACUCGAAAAUUGCAAUACACGUAAAUGAGAUGUUGAAGACAACGUUUUGGUUUCAAACGGAUAUGCCCCUUUAACAAAGAUCACGUUCAACAUAUUAUGCAAAAGAGUUGAGAAUGAGAAAUAGCGUCAAACAAAG